rnacentral:rRNA from 1 species
UGGGGAAUUUUGGACAAUGGGCGAAAGCCUGAUCCAGCAAUGCCGCGUGUGUGAAGAAGGCCUUCGGGUUGUAAAGCACUUUUGUCCGGAAAGAAAUCCUUGGCUCUAAUACAGUCGGGGGAUGACGGUACCGGAAGAAUAAGCACCGGCUAACUACGUGCCAGCAGCCGCGGUAAUACGUAGGGUGCAAGCGUUAAUCGGAAUUACUGGGCGUAAAGCGUGCGCAGGCGGUUUGCUAAGGCCGAUGUGAAAUCCCCGGGCUCAACCUGGGAACUGCAUUGGUGACUGGCAGGCUAGAGUAUGGCAGAGGGGGGUAGAAUUCCACGUGUAGCAGUGAAAUGCGUAGAGAUGUGGAGGAAUACCGAUGGCGAAGGCAGCCCCCUGGGCCAAUACUGACGCUCAUGCACGAAAGCGUGGGGAGCAAACAGGAUUAGAUACCCCUGGUAGUCCACGCCCUAAAACGAUGUCAACUAGUUGUUGGGGGAUUCAUUUCCUUAGUAACGUAGCUAACGCGUGAAGUUGACCGCCUGGGGGAGUACGGUCGCAAGAUUAAAACUUUAAAUGAAUUGACGGGGUCAUAGCUGUUUCCU